GACGAACGCUGGCGGCGUGCUUAACACAUGCAAGUCGAACGGAAAGGCCCUGCUUUUGUGGGGUGCUCGAGUGGCGAACGGGUGAGUAACACGUGAGUAACCUGCCCUUGACUUUGGGAUAACUUCAGGAAACUGGGGCUAAUACCGGAUAGGAGCUCCUGCUGCAUGGUGGGGGUUGGAAAGUUUCGGCGGUUGGGGAUGGACUCGCGGCUAAUCAGCUUGUUGGUGGGGUAGUGGCUUACCAAGGCUUUGACGGGUAGCCGGCCUUGGAGGGUGACCGGCCACCUUGGGCCUGAGGUACGGCCCAGACUCCUACGGGAGGCAGCAGUGGGGAAUAUUGCACAAUGGGCGGAAGCCUGAUGCAGCAGCGCCGCGUUCGGGAUGACGGCCUUCGGGUUGUAAACCGCUUUCGCCUGUGACGAGGCGUGAGUGACGGUAAUGGGUAAAGAAGCACCGGCUAACUACGUG
rnacentral:rRNA from 1 species